UACGGGGGGGGCAAGCGUUGUUCGGAAUUACUGGGCGUAAAGGGCUCGUAGGCGGCCAACUAAGUCAGACGUGAAAUCCCUCGGCUUAACCGGGGAACUGCGUCUGAUACUGGAUGGCUUGAGUUUGGGAGAGGGAUGCGGAAUUCCAGGUGUAGCGGUGAAAUGCGUAGAGAUGCGGAGGAACACCGAUGGCGAAGGCAGCCCCCUGGGUCGACACUGACGCUCAGGCACGAAAGCGUGGGGAGCAAACAGG
rnacentral:rRNA from 1 species